rnacentral:rRNA from 1 species
UUGUCGUAGCCGAUGGACAACAGGUGGAGAUUCCUGUACUGCGGUAUGACAGAACUGUGGGGACACGUAAGGAAAGCGGAAGCCGGGAAUGGAAAGCCCGGUGCAAGCGGGGUACCAGCCACUUUGGCUAAUCCGGGUGGCAAUGGGAAGCCGUGAUGCGGAGCGAAAUAAAGUAGCGAAGUCCGUGAGCCAUGCGUCAAGAAAAGCCGCUAUCGUUUAUACCGUACCCGUACCGUAAACCGACACAGGUGGAUGAGGAGAGAAUCCUAAGGCCGGCGGAAGAAGCAUUGUCAAGGAACUCGGCAAAAUGGCCCCGUAACUUAGGGAUAAGGGGUGCCUGGGAAACCAGGCCGCAGAGAAUAGGCUCAAGCAACUGUUUAGCAAAAACACAGGUCUAUGCGAAACCGAAAGGUGAGGUAUAUGGGCUGACGCCUGCCCGGUGCUGGAAGGUUAAGAGGAGAGGUUAGCGGUAACGCGAAGCUUUGAAUUUAAGCCCCAGUAAACGGCGGCCGUAACAAUAACGGUCCUAAGGUAGCGAAAUUCCUUGUCGGGUGAGUUCCGACCCGCACGAAAGGCGUAAUGAUUUGAGCGCUGUCUCGACAAUGCAUCCGGUGAAAUUGAAGUACCAGUGAAGAUGCUGGUUACCUGCGCCAGGACGGAAAGACCCCAUGGAGCUUUACUCCAGUCUGGUACUGGGACUCGGUAUUGCAUGUACAGGAUAGGUGGGAGGCUGAGAAAUGGUAACGCCAGUUGCCAUGGAGCCGCUGUUGGGAUACCACCCUUGCAGUAUUGGGUUUCUAACCAGCCGCCGUGACCCGGCGGUGGGACAAUGCCAGACGGGGAGUUUGACUGGGGCGGUCGCCUCCGAAAGGGUAUCGGAGGCGCCCAAAGGUUCCCUCAGAAUGGACGGAAACCAUUCGAAGAGUGCAAAGGCAGAAGGGAGCUUGACUGCGACACCGACGGGUGGAGCAGGUACGAAAGUAGGGCUUAGUGAUCCGGUGGUAUUAAGUGGGAAUGCCAUCGCUCAACGGAUAAAAGCUACCCUGGGAUAACAGGCUUAUCACUCCCAAGAGUUCACAUCGACGGAGUGGUUUGGCACCUCGAUGUCGGCUCAUCGCAUCCUGGGGCUGUAGUAGGUCCCAAGGGUUGGGCUGUUCGCCCAUUAAAGCGGUACGCGAGCUGGGUUCAGAACGUCGUGAGACAGUUCGGUCCCUAUCCGGCGUGGGCGUAGGAUAUCUGAGAGGAGCUGUCCUUAGUACGAGAGGACCGGGAUGGACGGGCCGCUGGUGCAUCGGUUAGACUGCCAAGUCUACGGCCGAGUAGCCAAGCCCGGAAGGGAUAAACGCUGAAGGCAUCUAAGCGUGAAGCCCCCCUUAAGAUGAGAUAUCCCAUUCGAAAGAAGUAAACCCCCUUGAAGACGACGAGGUAGAUAGGGCAGAGGUGGAAGUGCAGCAAUGCAUGGAGCUGACUGUUACUAAUCGGGUGAGGGCUUGACCAA